rnacentral:lncRNA from 1 species
UCCUACACAUCAGUUACCACUUUCAUAUUUUCAACUAACCGACCUAAUUCACGUUAAUGAAGAAAAAAGGCAACUUUGAGAUCAGAAAAAACAGAGCAACGACAGAUCGAAGAAGAAGAAUUCUCCAACGGCGAUGCAAAUCUGAUAUCGAAUAAUAUCGAAGAAGAUCAACAGCAAUUGCAAGAUCAACAGCAACUGCAAGAUCAGUAACCAGCCUUUGUGACAACUUUGAUUGUUGAUUGAUUCGUUAUAGA